CUUGUACUCCCUCCGUCCAAAAAUACUUGUCAUUGAAAUGGAUGUAUCUAGAUGUAUUUUAGUUCUAGACACAUCCAUUUUGAUGGCAAGUAAUUCCGGACGGAGGGAGUACUUG
rnacentral:pre_miRNA from 1 species